AGACUUUGAUCCUGGCUCAGGAUGAACGCUGGCGGUCUGCUUAACACAUGCAAGUCGAACGGGGUUCUUCGGAACCUAGUGGCGGACGGGUGAGUAACGCGUGAGAAUCUGCCCUUAGGAGGGGGAUAACGACUGGAAACGGUCGCUAAUACCCCAUAUGCCGAGAGGUGAAACGGUGAAUUCCGCCUGAGGAUGAGCUCGCGUCUGAUUAGCUAGUUGGUGGGGUAAGAGCCUACCAAGGCGACGAUCAGUAGCUGGUCUGAGAAAAUAACCAGCCACACUGGGACUGAGACACGGCCCAGACUCCUACGGGAGGCAGCAGUGGGGAAUUUUCCGCAAUGGGCGCAAGCCUGACGGAGCAAGACCGCGUGGGGGAAGACGGUUUGUGGAUUGUAAACCCCUUUUGACCGGGAAGAAGCCUGACGGUACCGUGUCGAAUCAGCCUCGGCUACAUCCG
rnacentral:rRNA from 1 species